rnacentral:lncRNA from 1 species
AAGCUUCUGUUCUGGCACAACGGCUGACGUCCUGAAGGAGACGCAUCCCGCGGGUGUUACCCCGUUAAAGGAGGACUCCAGGUGACUGUCCAGGUAGGGCCUCCUCCGAGGGUGGAGGGAGGAGGGACCGAUUUACUGCCACCAUCAUGCCUGUGGUGAGCCACCAUCCACGAGAGCUCCUGAUGCCAGUCCGGUGGACCGUGUGGAUGGACGUCAGGAUUCAGUCCCCCUUGAUGCCCCCAGCAUAGCUGCUUUCCACGUGCACAUCCCUGGCUGCAUGAGGCCAUUAAGCUCACAUUCUGCAGGGAAGGAGACCCCAUGGGCUGGCGGAAACUGCUAGAACCUGUUUUUGACUCAAACGAGUUGGCUUCUCCCUGCCUCCGGGUUCCCCGCAGAGCAGAACCAGUGGAUGGCUGAGGAAACCCGUGAUGGGAGUUAUGCUGUCCGACCGGCAGGCAAAAGGAAGGAACGAAGGACAUGUAGCAUCAGCCGUGAGUCCCAGCCUUGAACCUGUGUCUUCACACAGCUGCGUGGAACUUUGUUCACCUUGCUGGUGUUUCCCACUGUCUCUGUAACCUUUGAAUGCCAGUUUGUUUGAAACAAAAUAAAAAGAAUAAGUCCAUCGA